rnacentral:rRNA from 2 species
CUAAGCGGGAGUACGCCAGCCGGUGGAUGCCUCGGCUUGGGCGCCGACGAAGGACGUGGCAAGCUGCGAUAAGCCCCGGGUAGCCGCAGGCGGGCGUUGAUCCGGGGAUCUCCUAAUGGGAUUUCCUGCGGGGGCUUCGGCCUCCGCGUUCCCGGGCCUCAAGCCUGGGAUCGGGAACCCCCCGAACGGAAGCAUCCAAGUAGGGGGAGGAAAAGAAAUCAAAACGAGAUUCCCUCAGUAGGGGCGACCGAAAGGGGAGCAGCCCAAACCGAACCCCCAUGGGUAACCGUGGGGGAAUGUGGGGUUAUCGGGGCCGCGGGUCCAUCCUGAAGGCCGAGCCGAAGUCCCCUGGAAUGGGGCGCCAUAGAGGGUGAUAGCCCCGUAGGCGAAGGCUGGAGGGAUGAUGCCGCGUGUCCCAGAGUACCGCACCUCGGAUAUGGUGCGGGAAGUCGGGGGCCACUGGCCUCCAAGGCUAAAUACGUCCCAAGACCGAUAGUGGACCAGUAGCGUGAGCGAAAGGUGAAAAGUACCCCGAGAGGGGGGUGAAAAGCGCCUGAAACCGGCUGGUAACAGACGAGCGCGGCCCGGAAGGGCUUCCCCGCGAAGCCUCCGAGAGGGGGCGAGGUGGGGAGAUCCCAGGGUCGCGCGCUCCGUCUUGAAUCACGGGCCGGGGAGUUCACGGGUGUGGCGAGCCUAAGGGCUGGAAGCCCGGAGGCGUGGGGAAACCGACAUGCCCGCAGCCGGAGUCUGCUCCGGUGAGGGGCGGGGUCCGAAAGGGCCUGUAGUCACGCCCGUGAGGCUAGAAACCGGGCGAUCUAGCCCUGGGCAGGGCGAAGCCAGGGGAAACCCUGGUGGAGGCCCGAAUAGGGGUCUUGAUGUGCAAAUCGGUCCCCUGACCUGGGGCUAGGGGUUAAAAGCCAAUCGAGCCCGGUGAUAGCUAGUUCCCCCCGAAGUGUCUCGCAGGACAGCCUCGGGGGAGGCUGCCCACGGGGUAGAGCACCGAUGGGGGAGCAAGGGGCCGAUGAGGCUCCACUCUCCUUUCGAACUCCGAAUCCGUGGGCGCCGUAGAUCCCGGGAGUGGGGUACCGGGGGUAAGCUCCGGGACCGAGAGGGGAACAACCCAGACCGCGGGUUAAGGCCCCUAAGUGCCCGCUAAGUGACAAACCAAAGGGCGUCCCCGUCCUGAGACAGCGGGGCCGUAGGCUUAGAAGCAGCCAUCGGCUAAGAAGUGCGUAACAGCUUACCCGCCGAGGACGGGGGCCCCGAAAAUUGACGGGUCUAAGCGGGCCGCCGAAACCCGGGCUCACCCACGCUAGGCGUGGGUGGGGGUAGGGGGGCGUGGCGGUUGGGUAGAAGCAGGGCCGUGAGGUCCUGUGGACCGGCCGCCAAUGUAGAUCCCGGUGGUAGUAGACAGCGAAGCGGGGUGGGAAUCCCCGCCGCCGGAAGGGCACGGGUUUCCCGGCAAUGCGUCGUCAGCCGGGAGUAAGCCGGUCCUAAGGCCGACCUUAACCGGGUAGGCCGAAGGGGAAACCGGUUAAGAUUCCGGUGCCUCCUGGAUAGGUGCGGCGACGCAAGCCAGGCUCCUGACGCCUCGGGUAGGGCCGAGCAGGGCUGUAGCUCUGUCUAACCCUCGAAGCCUGGGGAGGGCCGUAAUGGCGAGAACCAGGUGAAUGGGGGGACGGGGCGGCCGUAAGGCCGCUUCGGCCUGCUCCCGGGGCCAGUGAAAAGGGAGCCUGGAACGAUUCCAGGAGACCGUACCUAGAUCCGACACAGGUGCCCCUGGCUGAGAAGGCCAAGGCGUCUGGGGUUACUCCGGGCUAGGGAACUCGGCAAAUUAGCCCCGUAACCUCGGGAGAAGGGGUGCCUGCCUUCCUGCCCGGUGAGGGUGGGUUGGCAGGUCGCAGUGACAAGGGGGUCCCGACUGUUUAAUAAAAACAUAGGGAGCCGCCAGGCCGAAAGGCUUUGAACGGCUCCUCAAUCCUGGCCAGCACCGGUACCUGAACCCCGGGUCCAACCGGGAUAAGGGCCGGUCAACGCCGGGGGUAACUCUGACCCUCUUAACGGGGACCUGCCCACCAUCAAUGCAUAAAUUCCUGGCCAUCAGUCGAUGGUCAGGCUAUGAAUAUUAUGAAUUCGAUAAAGGCUACGUUAGCGGCGUAAUUGAUGCGGAAGCCAGCUUUUCAGUAAGCGUCAAAGUUCAGCGUGAUCUACUAUGCAAAGUGCGCGUCGACCCUGUUUUCAGCAUGACGGAGAGAAAAAGAGAGGUGCUAGAAAUUGUUCAGAGAGUUCUUCGAUGUGGUAGGAUAAUUCAAAAACCUGGACAAAGGCACCUUUGGAUGCUCGUUGUAGACGAUUUAGAUGAACUCUCUCGAAAAUUAAUCCCAGCACUAGACGAGCUUAAGCUGGUUGCGAAGAAAUCAUCGUGCGACUACUUCCGUGAGAUUGUUCUUAAACUUGCCGAGAAGAAAUACUCGCUGACCUGUGAUGAGAUCCGAGAACUGGUGAUAAUGGCUUACAAGCUUUCGGAUCUAAAUUUGAAAUCCUCUCGUAAGAGGUCAAUUAUUGAAGUUCUUUCCUUAAUCCCUGUUUCUGAUGAUUACAAGGUGGGUUAGGCCCCGGGAGAAAGGUAGCCAAAUGCCUUGUCGGGUGAGUUCCGACGUGCAUGAAUGGAUCAACGAGGGCCCCACUGUCCCGGCCCGGAGCCCCGUGAACCCACAUAACGUGGGCGAACAGUCCACGAACCCCCAGUGGGGAGAGAAGACCCUGUGGAGCUUUACUGCAGCCAGUUGCUGCGGAGCGGCUUGGGAUGCAUAGCGUAGCCGGGAGCCGUCGAUCCCAGCCUCUUCGGGGGCUGGGGGAGGCGCCAAUGUAACACCGGCCAUCCCGGGCUGCCCCGCUAACCAGGGCCUGACCCUGGGACAACGGCUGGUGGGCAGUUUGGCUGGGGCGGCACUCCUCCGAAAAGAUAUCGGAGGAGCCCAAAGGUCGGCUCAGGCGGGACAGAAACCCGCUGUAGAGUGCAAGGGCAAAAGCCGGCCUGACAGGACCCUCGAACGCAAGGGGUCCUGAGGGGAAACCCGGGCCUAGCGAUCCAUCGGCCCCUACCAGUGGGGGCCGGUGGUGACAGAAAAGUUACCCCAGGGAUAACAGGCUCGUCGCGGGCGAGAGUCCCCAUCGACCCCGCGGCUUGGUACCUCGAUGUCGGCUCUUCCCCUCCUGGCCUCGCAGCAGGGGCCAAGGGUGAGGCUGCUCGCCUAUUAAAGGGGAACGUGAGCUGGGUUUAGACCGUCGUGAGACAGAUCGGUUUCUACCUACUGGGGGUGCGGGCCGCCUGAGGGUAGGGUCCUCCUAGUACGAGAGGAACGGAGGGCCGGGGCCAACGGUGUACCGGUCGUCCUACAGGGCGACGCCGGGUAGCCGCGCCCUUGAGGAUAAGGGCUGAAAGCAUCUAAGCCCGAAGCCUCUCCCAAAAAUAGGCGGCCGAUCGGGGCCUAUAGGGCUCGGCAACGGGCCUUGGGCUCCGACGAGGGCUCCCCUAGAAGAGGGGGUUGAUGGGGUGGGCGUGUAAGGGUGGAGGCUUAGGCCGGACACCCUCAGCGCACCACUCCCAAUCGCCCGAGCCGCUUAGGAA